GUAGGGACUUGACGGUACUGUAAGAAUAAGGAUCGGCUAACUCCGUGCCAGCAGCCGCGGUAAUACGGAGGAUCCGAGCGUUAUCCGGAAUUAUUGGGUUUAAAGGGUUCGUAGGCGGCUUUGUAAGUCAGUGGUGAAAUUUCCUAGCUUAACUAGGACACUGCCAUUGAUACUGCAGAGCUUGAAUAAUAUGGAAGUAACUAGAAUAUGUAGUGUAGCGGUGAAAUGCUUAGAUAUUACAUGGAAUACCAAUUGCGAAGGCAGGUUACUACGUAUUUAUUGACGCUGAUGAACGAAAGCGUGGGGAGCGAACAGGAUUAGAUACCCUGGUAGUCCACGCCGUAAACGAUGGAUACUAGCUGUUCGGUUUUCGGACUGAGUGGCUAAGCGAAAGUGAUAAGUAUCCCACCUGGGGAGUACGUUCGCAAGAAUGAAACUCAAAGGAAUUGACGGGGGCCCGCACAAGCGGUGGAGCAUGUGGUUUAAUUCGAUGAUACGCGAGGAACCUUACCAGGGCUUAAAUGUAGAUUGACAGAUUUGGAAACAGAUUUUUCUUCGGACAAUUUACAAGGUGCUGCAUGGUUGUCGUCAGCUCGUGCCGUGAGGUGUCAGGUUAAGUCCUAUAACGAGCGCAACCCCUAUUGUUAGUUACCAGCGCGUUAAGGCGGGGACUCUAGCAAGACUGCCGGUGCAAACCGUGAGGAAGGUGGGGAUGACGUCAAAUCAUCACGGCCCUUACGUCCUGGGCUACACACGUGCUACAAUGGCAAGUACAGAAAGCAGCUACCUGGCAACAGGAUGCGAAUCUCCAAAGCUUGUCUCAGUUCGGAUUGGAGUCUGCAACUCGACUCUAUGAAGCUGGAAUCGCUAGUAAUCGGAUAUCAGCCAUGAUCCGGUGAAUACGUUCCCGGGCCUUGUACACACCGCCCGUCAAGCCAUGGAAGCUGGGGGUACCUGAAGUCGGUGACCGCAAGGAGCUGCCUAGGGUAAAACUAGUAACUAGGGCUAAGUCGUAACAAGGUAGCCGUACCGGAAGGUGCGGCUGGAACACCUCCUUUCUAGA
rnacentral:rRNA from 1 species